rnacentral:rRNA from 1 species
AUUGAACGCUGGCGGCAUGCCUUACACAUGCAAGUCGAACGGCAGCACGGGGCAACCUGGUGGCGAGUGGCGAACGGGUGAGUAAUGCAUCGGAACGUACCUUUCAGUGGGGGAUAACGUAGCGAAAGUUACGCUAAUACCGCAUAUUCUGUGAGCAGGAAAGCAGGGGAUCGCAAGACCUUGCGCUGAUUGAGCGGCCGAUGUCAGAUUAGCGAGUUGGUGAGGUAAAGGCUCACCAAGGCGACGAUCUGUAGCGGGGCUGAGAGGAUGAUCCGCCACACUGGAACUGAGACACGGUCCAGACUCCUACGGGAGGCAGCAGUGGGGAAUUUUGGACAAUGGGGGCAACCCUGAUCCAGCCAUGCCGCGUGAGUGAAGAAGGCCUUCGGGUUGUAAAGCUCUUUCGGCCGGGAAGAAAUCGCACGGGCUAAUACCCUGUGUGGAUGACGGUACCGGAAUAAGAAGCACCGGCUAACUACGUGCCAGCCGCCGCAGUAAAAC